GCAGAGGUCCCUUUGACACUUUAGGGUGUCCAAGAUCCCAUCUGACCUUGGAAGCUAACAGGGCUGGGCCUGGUUAGUACUUGGAUGGGAGACAGCCUGGGAAUAUCAGGUGCUGUAGGCU
rnacentral:rRNA from 1 species